AUAUACAGGUUUCGCCUUAGAACAUUUUUUUAUUUGAUUUACAAAUAGAAAAGUAUAAAAAGAAAGAUAUAAUAAAUGUGUAGAUAUUAAAGAUUUUAUUAGCUGGUAAUGAUGUAUUACCUAGAUAAGAUUUCUGUAAUUUGAGAUGGAAUUGGCUGCAAAUUUUUAUUUAAAGUGACUGUCUGUUUCUUAGUACUACUUAUUUGUAAGUUUCUGAUUAUAAAGAUAGAUCCUGCCUCAUUAUAUGUUUCUUUCCUUAUUUUUUUAUAUUUAUAUACUAUUAUGCACACCUUAUUAGGCUUUCUUGCUUGACACCUCUUGUUUGGUAGUUAAUUAAGAAAAAUGCGUUUCAGAAUUUAAACUGUAAGUGGAGCUUCUAUGUUUUGGAUUACUAUGUUGAUGAAAAAUCUUAAACCAAGAAUCAUUUCAAAGUUGUACACUGUAUGAAUGAGUUAUUACUGGCAAAAUGGUAACUACAGUUGCCAGAAAAAAGAGAGAUGAUUUAUUGGUGUCCUAAAGCAAAUUUGUUUGCAUAUGUUUCUGGUGACAGUUUCAUCUUUUAACUCCACCUCUCUGGUUCCAUAUCUUACAUGCUUGUCGAGGAAUCUGAUGAAUUGUUUUAAAGUCAUUGAUCCUGAAGUUGAGUGUUUCUAACAUUGAGCCAUAAUGUUCGGUAUUGGUAAGAACUGUCUGCAAUCCAUUUUGACUAUGAGCUAUUAGUUGCAAUAAGGACUUGGCCUAAAACAAAAAAAAUUGUUCUUUAUGGUGCUUUUUUCACCUUUGGUAUAGAAAAAUUGUAUUCAAUCCAACAAAGAGGUCUUCAACAUGCAAUAGAAUGACCUGAAAUGAAGAGUCGAAAUCUAGUAUGCUACUACUGAGUAUGAUUCUAGCAAUUAUGGAGAAGUAUUUGCCACUUCCACAUGAUGCCCUGAAAGUAGAUUUGAGGUCUACCAUGCAGCUAUAUGAUAUGAUUCUGAACUGGUGUCUGUCAUCGCAGCGUAAUAAAAUGUAUUGGGAUCCCUAGUAACAACACCGUAAUAACCUGUCUAGGAGGAGCACGGGUAUUACAUGAUUUCACAUGAUAUGCUUUUACUGUCACCUAAUGAGAUAUAUGUUGAAGAAAGAAUCUAAUGGAAAUGGAACUGGAGGGAAACAAUUAUCAUUUCUAGCAUUUUUCUUUUUGUGGGUAAAUUUCUUAUGUUAUCAUAUAGACAUGAUCAGUUUUUUUCAUGAAAUAUCCGUUUUUUGGAACUCGAGUAGCUAUGUUUGCUUGACUUUUUGUUGCUCAUUUUGUAUUUGCCUAAAUAUUUGUUCUCUAAUUAUAUGACACUAGUUCUAAUGGAAGAUUCAACCCACGGAAAUGACAAGGUUCAAGGAAAAGGUACCGAAAAAUAUGAGAAAUGGACGUCGGAAGAAAACAAUGAGCUUUUAAAACUCAUGGUUGAUGCUACCACACGUAGUUGGCGUGAUAGUAAUGGUCUGUUGAGCAAGAUAAUCGUAGAAAAACAUACUUCCUCAUCUUAAACGAAAACUUGGGGUUGAAAAGACUUAUGCCCAAUAUAAAAGUCGUGUGAAAUGAUUUUAAAAACAGUACAACAAGUAUUCUAAGCUUGUGCGUCAUAACUCUGGGUUUGGAUGGGAUCAUGUGAUGAAGAAAUUCACUGCUAGUGAUGAAGUAUGAGACGAUUACUUUAUGUCACAUCCCGAAGAUAAAAGUUAUCGCAUAGACACUUUCCAGACUAUGAGGAUUUGAGAAUUGCAGUUGGAAGUGGGACAGUUGUUGGGACACACUCAAUUGCAUUAGGGGAUGAUACUGAUGCAAGAACUUUUUAUACUGAAGAAAGAAGAGUUAGAGACAGUUCAAUAGACGACUUCAUGUAUGAUCCUGAUACUGAAACAUUUAUAGUACCCGAUAAGCAAGAUUUUAUAAGUUCAGAGGUUUCCCCACCAAUUCGAAAACAAAGUAGAACAUAAUUUGAAGCAAAAUCUAGUUCGUUUGAGCCCAAAAGCACUCAAUCAGACAUUAUAGACAAACUUGCUAGUACAGUUGGCAAGAUCACUCAAGCAAUUGAAUUAAUUGACACCGGAGAGCCUAAUUGUUAGAACAUUAUCAAGGAGAUUCCAAACUUGGAUGAUGAUGAUCGUUUUAAGGUCCUUGAUUUGCUUAAUACAAAAGCAAAAAAGUCUGAGUUCUUGAGCAUGACGCCCGAAGAACAUUAUGGAUAACAUUUAAAUUAAAUUGGGGCUUUGUUUUUUUGGAUACGAUUGGUAGUAACUUUUGAAGUUUUUGAAUUGUUUUUUGUUUGAUUUAUUGGUUGUAUUGUUUUGAUAUUUUAUUACUUUGUUGACAAUUGAUUCAUUUUACGUCACAUUAACGUUAUCUUUGUCUAUGUAUUAAAUUUUUGUUCCUUCUAUGUUUAGGUACUUCCAUAUAUAUAAUGUCUAAUGUUAACAUACAUGAAUAUCAUGAAAAAGAAGUGGAUGAGAAUGAAGAAGAUGACAAUAAGGAAGCAUUAUAUGAAACCAGACGAUAUUUGUGGAUGGCAAUUCAAGCAAUUCUCUACGUAAUAAAUGAUCUUGUAAAUAAUAUGCGUUGUGCACGUAUUGCACGUUCACUAACUAGGUGACCAAAAACUAGAUAUGGAUAUGACUAUAUACAUAAAAUAUUAAAGGAUGAUCCAGAAAACUUUCCACAAGUUUAUAGAAUGUAUCCGGAUAUAUUUCUAAAAUUAAGCAAUAUCAUUAGAGAAAAAACACCCUUACAGGAUACUAGGUAUAUUUGUGUUGAAGAGAUGCUUGCAACGUUCCUACUUAUUGUUGGUCAAAAUACUAAAUAUUGCUUGAUUCGUCAAAAAUUUGGUCGAUCACAUUUCACUACUAGUCGAAGUUUCAACAAGAUUUUACAGACAUUAAACAAAUUUGCGGUAGAUAUGAUGGUCAAACUGGAAUUCGUUGUGCCAGAAAAAAUAAGGGAAAGUACAAGAUUUUAUCCUUACUUUAAAGUAAGUGAUGAAAUAAGACUUAUUAUAAUUUUUGUUUUAUGCUUUCAUUAGUGUUCUCGUGAAUUUUUUGUACUGUUUUAUUAUUUUUAGGAUUGUAUUGGAGCUAUUAAUGGUACCCAUAUUCCAGUAAUGGUAACUGGACGUGAUACAAGCAAUUACAGAAAUCGUCAUGGAACAAUUUCUCAAAAUGUUUUGGCCGCUUGUAACUUUGAUUUGGAAUUUAUAUACGUGAUUAGUGGGUGGGAGGGAUCAGCACAUGAUUUUAAAGUGUUGAGUGAUGCUUUAACAAGGAGAAAUGGACUUAAAGUGCCACAAGGUAAAUAUUUUUUGGAAGACUAUGGAUUUCCAAAUCGACGUCAGUUUUUAACUCCUUUCUGAGGUGUCCGUUAUCAUUUUCAAGAUUUUGCUGGUCAAGGUCGUGACCUUGAAAAUACAAAAGAGUUGUUUAAUCUUCGUCAUGCUUCCUUGAGGAACGUAGUUGAGAGGAUAUUUGGUAUAUUUAAAUCAAGAUUCACAAUUUUCAAAACAGCUCCUCCAUUUCCAUAUCGUACACAAGCCGAACUUGUAUUAGCUUGUGCAGGAUUAACAAUUUUCUCCGAAAAGAAUGUCGGUCCGAUGAAUUUCCAAUCGAACCCGAUAACGAAGAUUCUUCAUCUUUUUCGAUUAAUGAGGGGGAAGACUUUGGACCAUUUUUUGAGAGUCAAGAACAAAAAAGAGAGAAUGCUAAUGCAUGGAGGGCUUCUUUAGCAGUGGACAUGUGGAAUGAUGUUGGCAA